AAAAGGCAUAAUUUUAUUGUCCCAAAAGAAAAUGAUUUUAAUAACUCCUUACCGUUCUAGGAAGGGUGCUGGGAAAAUCCGGGUUGAAUUAUAGACCGCAAUUUCGUUGAUCUCUCCCUUGCAGCAGUCCCAAAUCUUUCAACUACUUAGUCGGCCAAACGCGGCUGCAUUUCAACCUUUUACGGGUGUAAUUUUUUAGGCCAAACGUUGCUGAUUUUUUGGCCAUUUGCAACUCACUUUGGGAGUAAUCCACUGCUACAGUUGAUGCUGAUUUUUUAGCCCAAAAGCUGCUGCGUUUUGGUCAUUUGCACCUCAAUUUUGGAAGUAAUAUACUGCUGCAUUUUGGGGUCAUGGGCUGCUGUACUUUUAGCCAUUCUUGGGUUCCUUCGCUGCUACAUUCGGAGAUCUAUUGCUUUAUUUUUUGUGAGCAGUCAUUAGCUAUAAACUGGAAUAGAGGGUUGAGCUUAUGCUCCCUUUCACUUUGUAAUUCCUCAUUUAUUGAUAUAAAGGUCACGCCACCUUACGACGAUAAUAUUUUUU